UACGAAGGGGGCGAACGUUGUUCGGAAUUACUGGGCGUAAAGGGCGCGCAGGCGGCUCUGAAAGUCAGAUGUGAAAGCCCCGGGCUUAACCUGGGAAUUGCAUUUGAUACUCUGGAGCUUGAGUACGGGAGAGGAGAGUGGAAUUCCCAGUGUAGAGGUGAAAUUCGUAGAUAUUGGGAAGAACACCGAUUGCGAAGGCAGCUUACUAAGGAGUUACUGACACUGAGGCACGAAAGCGUGGGGAUCAAACAGG
rnacentral:rRNA from 1 species